rnacentral:rRNA from 1 species
CAGUAGCCACGGUAAUACGAAGGGUGCAAGCGUUACUCGGAAUUACUGGGCGUAAAGCGUGCGUAGGUGGUGGUUUAAGUCCGUUGUGAAAGCCCCGGGCUCAACCUGGGAAUUGCAGUGGAUACUGGAUCACUAGAGUGUGGUAGAGGAUAGUGGAAUUUCCGGUGUAGCAGUGAAAUGCGUAGAGAUCGGAAGGAACAUCUGUGGCGAAGGCGACUAUCUGGGCCAACACUGACACUGAGGCACGAAAGCGUGGGGAGCAAACAGGAUUAGAUACCCCCGUAGUCCCUGUCUCUUAUAC